rnacentral:lncRNA from 1 species
GGGUGAUAUCAAUUUUAAAUUCAACCUCACGCUCUGGGGGCAGUCCGGGUAGUUCAUCUGAAAAAAUAUCAAAAAAUUUCUUGAUAAUUAGGAUAUCAUCCAACUUUAUCUUUUCCUUCUCGGCGUCUACUACAUGGGCCAAAAUUGCUUUGCAUCCUUUCCUCAAAGCUUUUCUUGCGUUCAUGAUUGAGAUAAUACCCAAAGAUUGUUUGGGUUCUGUAUUAUG